ensembl:lncRNA
CAUCAGGUAAAUUGUAUUCAUCAGAUCAUACGAUUACAGAAUUGAUGUUAAGGAAGUUAAGAAACUUAGUCAAAUUAUAUGAGCUAUUAGACAAUGCCUAGCAUCUGAUUCCAGUUCCUAACAUCUGGUAAAAAUAAGCAUCAAGAAUUUUUAAAAUGGCAUACAAUAGCUAGUAUCAAAGUAUAUGGUGCAUGGUCUUAAUGAAGUUAAAGAACUUACAGGAGGACUUGGAGAAUAUAUUGUGGAUCCUGGAGUGAAAUCAAUGCUCAAUUCUCUCAGUUCUACAUGAUUCUGAAGACCCAUGUUCUUCUGCAGAGACUUACAUUGUCUCACACAUGCUUUCAAAAUCUUUGUAAGUACCAUUGCACCAAAUUCUUUGUAUGUUCCAGUCAUGGUUUUAUUACUUUAAUUAAUGAACUCAUUUUCUCUUAUGUCAUCUCCAUAGAUAAAAUUUCCAUAUUCAAUAUUUCUGUAAACAAAAUCAAUGAUGCUUGAUUAUGGUUGCCAAGAUAUUUGAAGGUUUUAUGAUGAUUUUCAUGAAAUGGGACGUUUCUGCCUAUUGUGGGAAUUGCAGUAUAGACCUACCAUCUCUGAGAAAAGUUGGACCACCUACCCCUGGUGGAAUGGUAUUGGCUUCGAAAGUCAAUAUUGGCUGGAAGUAUUUAAGCAGAAGUUACCCAAGAUACUACAGUGGAGCCAUGACAGAUGCAUUGGCUUCCUUAAAGCUUUGGGAGGAUCAUACCACGUGGAAGCAAUUUAUAGAUUCUAAAGAACUUUGCAAUUGGACAUCAUAUUCUGGAUUUACUGAAGUGAUCUCAGACCAGUACUACUCCACUGUGUAUAAAUCCUACACCUUGAAAUAACUUCAAGAAUCAACAAAUGGAAUCAUAUAAAAUUGAAAAACUUCUUUACAGCGGAGGAAACAACUCAGAGAGUGAGGAGACAACCUACAGAAUGGGAAAAAAAUUUUGACAGCUAUUCCACUGGUAGGGGACUAAUAUGUACAAUAUAGAAAUAACUCAAAAAAAUUAAGACUCCCUGAAGAAUAACAGACACAAUCAAAAAAUGAGUAACCUAAAUGAGUAGCCACUUCUCAGAAGAACCAAUAAAUACAUGAAGAAAUGCUCAGUGUCACAACUAUUAAAAAAUGCAAAUUAAACCACACUGAGAUUUCAUCUGACCCCAGAAAAAAUGGCCAUCAUCAAGAAUCAAACAAUAACAAAUAUUGGCAAGCCUGAGGAGGAAAUGGAACCUUUCUACAUUGUUGGUGGGAAUGAAAACCAGUACAAUCAUUUUGGAAAUCAGUAUGGAGAUUCUUCAAAAAAAUAGAAAUUUCAUUUUACCCAGCUAUUCUCCUUCCAGGUAUCUUCCUGAAAGUUUUGAAGACAUCAUAUUACAGUGAUAUAUGUUUAUCCAUGUACAUAGCAGCAAAAAUCCUCAUAGUUUACUCUUGGAAGCAGCCAAUAUGCCCAUCAACAGAUGCAUGGAUAAACAUUUUCUAUUCUUUCCAUUAACGUGAGAUGACCAUUAUUACUCUGUCCAUUGCCGAUUGGAUUAAUUUUGAUUAGCAGCUCUAUUUCCCCCUUUUCCAUGUCUCUAUUUGAGAGGAAUAUACUACUUAUUCAUUGAAGGGUGACUUACGACAGUAGAAGGUGAGUAGAAAUGGUAAGCAGAGGUUUGAACAGAAGCUUUUUAUUAUUCAUUAAUUUUAUUGGUACAUUUAGGUAUGCAAUACAAUGACAUUCAUCAUUAGGAAUUUGGACCUUUACAUGAUUUAUCUUGUUCUUACUUUUGACCCAUUCCCCUCCCUUCCCUUCAAUCCCUCCACCUCUCCCUAUUUACAAAAACAUUGUUUGUGUUUUUUUCCUUAUCUCAUAUUUAUUCCUUUCUCUUCUUUCCUUCCCCUUACUUCUCCACCUUCCCCUUCCCCUUUGGACCUUUUCGUCCUAUUUCACAUUAUUCAUUAUACAUUUUGCUCCUUAUUUACAAUUUCAGUUUAAGUGAAAUAAAUAGUACACAGAUGUGUAAAUAUCAAAUAGUUUCUCUGGUGUGAAAAGAAGCUUUGGGAUUUUGAGUCCACCUUAUCAUAUCACCCUUUCUUUACCAUUAGACUAUCAAGGUCCAAGAUUAAGGCAGGGGCAGCCCAGCCUUGGUUUCAAAGUGUAAACAAUACAGGAGUUUAUAAAGCUUUAGUAAGUGCUCAGCUGCAUACUGGCAAAGCUGAAAUUUGAAGUUAGAUUUGUCCUAAUCCAAAUCACAUGAACUUGGCCCUUACAUUGCAGUUCCUUUUUAGUCCUGAUUUCAUAUCAUUUUUCUGAAUUUUGCAGUAACUUCUUUAAAACCACAGUAAAUAGCUAUUUUUAAAGAAAUGGAAUAUGGAUAGGUUCUAGUAAGGAAGGGAAUAGGACAAAGGCAGCGUAUUGUUCAGCUUUCCUGUUGCUGGGACCAAAUAUACAACACUUACAACUAAAAGAAAAGGUUAAUUUAGAUCAUGGUUUCAUAGGAUUCAGUCUAUGUCUGGUUGGUGUGAUAGUUAACUGUUUUGUCAACUUGAGUAAGAAGUGCUGGACUGAUUGGAUUAACAUGGUUCUGGGUGUGACAGCAUGGAUUUACUGAAGAUGAAAGACCCACCAAGAGUGGUCCCAAUCAACAGUCUUGUAGCCUGAAUGAAAUAGGAAGGGGCAAGAGGAAAGAAGGCUCACUUCUGUUUCUUCAGAGGAACUCCAGUCUCUCACUUCACCUUGGAUGUCUGUCUCCUGACUUGCAGCACAAACUCUUCAGCCCCCUGAUACAGACUCACACAAGACUCUAUAGGGAGCUUCAGGACUUUGAUUUUUGACUGGCUCCUUUGGAACUCUAGUGCACAGACACCCCUUUUGCAUUCUUCUGCCUCUGACCCAGUAGGUGGCCAUUGUAAGCCUAUGUUGUAAAGAUAGAUAGAUAGAUGAUAGAUAGAUAGAUAGAUGACCAAAAACACACACAUACUUCAGAAAAAGAAAAAUAGUAUGAUGUUUUCUCAACAGACGGUGUUACCCUUAUAUGGGGGACCCUAGAGGAUGUUGUAUAUCACAGAAAACCCAUUACACUGCCGAUCCUUAGAGGAGAAAUUGAAAAUGCAUGUGUAGCAAUCUGAAUGACCACAGUUACCUAAGCAGCAGUUCGCCGUACGAAUAAAUAUCUUCAAGGUGUCAAGUGUUCUGUCCCAGCAAUGAGAAAGUAACUAAGACAGCUACCAUCAGGACAUUCCAAGGAC